rnacentral:rRNA from 1 species
ACGGAAGGCAGCAGUGGGGGAUAUUGCACAAUGGGGGAAACCCUGAUGCAGCGACGCCGCGUGAACGAUGAAGUAUUUCGGUAUGUAAAGUUCUAUCAGCAGGGAAGAAAAUGACGGUACCUGACUAAGAAGCUCCGGCUAAAUACGUGCCAGCAGCCGCGGUAAUACGUAUGGAGCAAGCGUUAUCCGGAUUUACUGGGUGUAAAGGGAGCGUAGACGGUUUGCCAAGUCUGAUGUGAAAGGUAGGGGCUCAACCCCUAAACUGCAUUGGAAACUGGUAGACUAGAGUGUCGGAGAGGUAAGUGGAAUUCCUAGUGUAGCGGUGAAAUGCGUAGAUAUUAGGAGGAACACCAGUGGCGAAGGCGGCUUACUGGACGAUAACUGACGUUGAGGCUCGAAAGCGUGGGGAGCAAACAGGAUUAGAUACCCUGGUA